GAAGAGGAGUGGGUCGAAAACACAGAUCUGUUGGCUGAUCUGUGGUUGAUCAGAUGGCAGUUCCAAUUGCUUAACAGCAAAAUGACAGGGUCUCCACCUGUAUCAGGCUGCCGAAGUGAAGAAAGCAAGUCGGGCUUCUCUGUAGUAGAAUGUGCUCAGAGGCAUCCUGUUCCUUCAUAGUAACUCUUCCCCUUUCCCGCCUGGCUCUGUCCGUUACCGUAACCCAAAGGUCUACAUAUCAAAGUAAAUCAAGAAGCUCAGUGUCUGCCCACUCCUAAGGGGUUAAUGGAGGGAUGGGGGAUGUGGUCCUCCAGAUGUUGAACUUCCAACUCCUAUCAACCCCAGCCAGCAGGAUUGGUGGUCAAGAUGGUUGUGUAGGAUAGCUACAUCUGGAGGGGAACAGGUCUCCCCCUUGCAAUAAGCAUGAAGGCAGCUGACUGGGGGCAGGAACGAGGUCUAUAAGAUCAGAUGGGGCCUCUAAUGUCAGGGCAGGAACUGUCUGAAUGGGUGUUAUGCAUCACUCACUAGUCCUUAAGAAACCUUGGGUGAAUUGCAUUUCAUGGACUUGCACGGACGUAAAGGUCAGACGGUAGCAGACAUGUGUAGAUUGAAUCUUUAAAAAGGCUAUUCUGUUUCAGCUACCAAGAAUUCCGCAAUCAAAAUCCUGCAAAUCAAGCAACGUUGGCAUACAAACACGUUUAUUCUGCUUUCAAGGUUCGGAUUUAAAACAAUUGUUUGUAAGGGGAAGAAUCGAAAAAGAUGGCUGGAAGGACAUGGAACAGAGAAAAAGGGAAGAUUCAAAAGGAAGGAUGUGGCAGCUGAUGGAAAGUUACAGCCCAGGCUGUGCUUACAAAAAAGAAUAAACAUUAAAGUGAGAUGUAUUUAAAAUUUUGCAUGAAGGUCACCCCAACUCUUGCCAAUAACAGCUAGAUUCUGUGACCUGUGUAAAGUAUGCAUGUUAGGGCCAUUGCAUUAGCUGAUUUGGAAGACAAGCUUAAAAUUACACAUUUGCUGGACAAUUCACAUUAUUUUAUUACAGGUUUAUCCCACCUUUCCAAGAAACACAAGGUUCUCCCCCAUUUUAGCUUCACAAUGAUCUUGUAAGGUAGGCUGAGAGACAGCGACUGGCCCAAGGUCAGUGAGCUUCAUGCCCGAGUGGGGAUCUGAACCCUGGUCUCUCAGGUCCAAGUCCGACACUAACCAUUACACCACACUGGCUCUCUAAACCCCCCCCCAAAAAAACGGUGUCCUGAUAAUAAAUCAGCAGGUGGUUGUCGUUGUUGUUUUAAAAAAACACUUUUAAAAACACAAAUCAUUGUUGAAACUGCAGGUGACAAGAACAAGUAGCAGAGGCAUUUUCAUUCCUGAGUGACAGCAAACUUCUUCCUAGUUGAUGCCUGCUUUGUGUGAGAGAUC